AUUACUUCUCAGUCUUUUGGCUAAUAUCAAGUGUAUUAUCUGUUUUUAUCAGUUUAAUAUCUGAUAUAUCCUCUACCUGAGGACAGUGUAUCAAAUGAAUUUUUUUUUUUUUUGAUCAGGGAGUUGGAAUAGGAGCUUGCUCUAUCCACUCCAUGCAGUGAUCUGAUAUAGUACUGCACCCCCU